rnacentral:rRNA from 1 species
CUAAUCUUUUUUUAUACUGAGCGUAUUGGAACGUUAUCGAUAAGAAGAGAGCGUCUAGGCGAACAAUGUUCUUAAAGUUUGACCUCAAAUCAGGUAGGAGUACCCGCUGAACUUAAGCAUAUCAAUAAGCGGAGGAAAAGAAACCAACCGGGAUUGCCUUAGUAACGGCGAGUGAAGCGGCAAAAGCUCAAAUUUGAAAUCUGGUACCUUCGGUGCCCGAGUUGUAAUUUGGAGAGGGCAACUUUGGGGCCGUUCCUUGUCUAUGUUCCUUGGAACAGGACGUCAUAGAGGGUGAGAAUCCCGUGUGGCGAGGAGUGCGGUUCUUUGUAAAGUGCCUUCGAAGAGUCGAGUUGUUUGGGAAUGCAGCUCUAAGUGGGUGGUAAAUUCCAUCUAAAGCUAAAUAUUGGCGAGAGACCGAUAGCGAACAAGUACAGUGAUGGAAAGAUGAAAAGAACUUUGAAAAGAGAGUGAAAAAGUACGUGAAAUUGUUGAAAGGGAAGGGCAUUUGAUCAGACAUGGUGUUUUGUGCCCUCUGCUCCUUGUGGGUAGGGGAAUCUCGCAUUUCACUGGGCCAGCAUCAGUUUUGGUGGCAGGAUAAAUCCAUAGGAAUGUAGCUUGCCUCGGUAAGUAUUAUAGCCUGUGGGAAUACUGCCAGCUGGGACUGAGGACUGCGACGUAAGUCAA